rnacentral:rRNA from 1 species
UCCAGACUCCUACGGGAGGCAGCAGUGAGGAAUAUUGGUCAAUGGUCGGGAGACUGAACCAGCCAAGCCGCGUGAGGGAGGAAGGUACAGAGUAUCGUAAACCUCUUUUGUCAGGGAACAAAGACUGGGACGCGUCCCCGGAUGAGUGUACCUGAAGAAAAAGCAUCGGCUAACUCCGUGCCAGCAGCCGCGGUAAUACGGAGGAUGCGAGCGUUAUCCGGAUUUAUUGGGUUUAAAGGGUGCGUAGGCGGGAUGCCAAGUCAGCGGUAAAAAUGCGGUGCUCAACGCCGUCGAGCCGUUGAAACUGGCGUUCUUGAGUGGGCGAGAAGUAUGCGGAAUGCGUGGUGUAGCGGUGAAAUGCAUAGAUAUCACGCAGAACUCCGAUUGCGAAGGCAGCAUACCGGCGCCCUACUGACGCUGAGGCACGAAAGCGUGGGUAUCGAACAGGAUUAGAUACCCCGUACCC